UUUCCGUAGGUGAACCUGCGGAAGGAUCAUUAAUAAAGGAUACCUUCGGGUAUACCCCAUCCGUGUCUAUAUAUACUAUUGUUGCUUUGGCAGGCCGUCUCUCGGACUGUGGGCUCUGCCUGCAAGUGCCUGCCAGAGGACCAAACUCUGAAUGUUAGUGAUGUCUGAGUACUAUAUAAUAGUUAAAACUUUCAACAACGGAUCUCUUGGUUCUGGCAUCGAUGAAGAACGCAGC
rnacentral:misc_RNA from 1 species